rnacentral:lncRNA from 1 species
GUCUUGGAUGAGGCCUCAGCAGGCUGCAGGCUGUGCACCCACGCACUGCAGAACGCUGUGAUUACAGCAGGACAGGUAAAACCUGAAACCAUUGUUUUUGAAGACAAAAACACAGUUGACAUCUGCUAAGCUGAAAGUAUGAGGUACACAUGAUACUUGGGCUCCUGAAGCGAGGGACUCCCAUGAGUUCACCACAUUUGUUAUAUUUUAGAAGGGGAGAAA